UGCAUCGGCCGGGAAUCGAACCCGGGCUGCCCGCGUGGCAGGCAAGCAUUUUACCACUGAACCACCGAUGC
rnacentral:tRNA from 1 species